GGGCUCACUGUGUAGCCCAGGCUGGCCUCGUAUUCACAGCAAUCCUCCUGCCUCAGCCUCCUGAGUGCUGGGAU
rnacentral:miRNA from 1 species